AUGUGGCUCCGGCUCCUCACUGGCCUGGGUCACUGUGCCUGGGAGCCGCCGCACGUUAUGUCCCGGCUACGCCUUUGGUUGCCACGGCUCUUCCUCACGUGGCUAAAACUGUGGCUUCAAGUCCAGGCAGUUCAGCCUCCGGAGUGGGCCCUGGGCCCCGUCCAGGUGACCCCCAACCCCCCGCGGCUGACAGAGGCUUGGUCUUCAUACGCCUCAGACCCCCCUCCCAAAUUGCCCCAUGCCCUUACACCCCUGGCAGAAGCCGAGGGCUUUAAUUACUUGACGUCCUGGUCUCCAUUCGAGAUGUUGGCCCCGCCUCAUCAGGAGUUGACUGAGGCUGAGGCUCCAUACGCGGACACGGAUUCCGCGAGUGUAGUUUUCUCUCCAGAGCAUCCUGUGCCGACAGUUUCUCCUCCAGGUCAGGAUCAAGCUCAGCUUCUGCAGCGGCCCGAUGUCACUGUUAAACCUGUGGGUCUUGCACUGAUCGUAACUGCAGCUUUCACUAAUGAGCUUGAAACUCCUCCACCCCAACAAGAAACCUCGGCUCAGUCUACAGUGUCCUCUGAGCAGUUGGAACCUUUGUCAGUCUGGCAGGAAUUUUCAGAGCAGCAUCCAGUCCCCUCUGAAAAUGUUGAACUUUUUCCAGUUCACCAAGGAGCCCCAAUUCAACCACCAUACCCCGAGGUGACAUUUCCAAAUCCAGAGCAAGUUCAGGCUCACCACCCAACUUUGAUUGAGGUCACGAUUCAACCAUUGGACCUUGGACUGACCAGAAGGCCAGAACCCACUAAGGAGGGUGAACCUUCUCCAGUCAUGCAGGAGACCUUAACCCAGCCUGCAGAACCACCUAAGGAGGUUUUUGUAGCUCAGCCUCCAGUAUAUCACAAUUCAAUAGUUCCAACACCACAUCAGGAUCACACUGAGCCUCCAACAUCACCCAGUAUCACAGUUAAACCUUUGAACCUGGAGCUGACCACAACUCCAGAACCUACUACAGAGUCUGAACAUUCUACAGCCCGGCAGCAGACUACAGCUCCCCCUCCAAAACACCCUGAGGUGACGCUUGCACAACCAAACCUGUCUCAAGUCACAGUUUCACCUGUGGACCUGGGAGUUAACGUAUCUCAGCAACCAAGGCCAUCUGAGACGGUUCUUUUUCCUUCGACUCAGUAUUCAGUAUCCACAGGUCUUCCUGGUGUAAGAUAUACCCCAGAAAAGAAGCAGCCAGGGCAGAAUGCCACCACAAACAUCAGCAUAUGUGAGCUCUGUACCUGCAAAAAUGAGACGCUGUCGUGUGUUGGUCUCAGCCCAAAGCAGAAGCUCCACAGAGUGCCUGAGCCAGAGCCUAACGCCUACAACGGCACCUUCACCAUCCUAAAUUUCCAAGGAAACUCUAUUUCUUACAUUGAUGAAAGUAUGUGGAAGGCAUACCGCUGGGCUGAGAAGCUAAAUCUCAGUGAAAAUUAUUUGACUGAAUUACAUAAGGACUCAUUUGAAGGCUUGCUAUCCCUCCAAUAUUUAGAUUUAUCCUGCAAUAAAAUACAGUCUAUCGAAAGACGUACAUUUGAACCACUACCUUUUUUGCAGUUUAUAAAUCUUGGUUGCAAUUUACUCACAGAACUGAGCUUUGGAACGUUUCAGGCCUGGCAUGGAAUGCGCUUUUUACACACGUUAAUUCUCAAUCGUAAUCCUUUGACAACAGUUGAAGAUUCUCAUCUUUUUAAAUUGCCAGCAUUAAAAUAUUUAGACAUGGGAACAACACAAGUGUCACUUACAACAGUUGAAAGCAUCCUCAUGAUGACCCUUGAAUUGGAAAAACUGAUCUUACCUAGCCGUAUGGGCUGCUGCCUCUGCCAAUUUAAAGAUAGUAUUGAGGUUGCCUGUAAGACAGUCAAGCUGCGUUGUGACAGUGAAUGCCUGACAGACGUGACACCUUGUGAUGAAGAAACAUCUAUAGGGAAUGCAGAAGGAUCGUUGAUGAAGGUGUUACAAGCCCGGAAAAAGAACACCACCACUGAGCUGACUAUUGAGUCCGAGAGGGCGUCGUCAGAUAAAAGUGCUGUCAGCUUGUCAGGCUUCAUGAAUGAGCAACUGGACUUUAAUAAUAAAAGUGAUAUUAUCAGUACACUAAAUGACAUACUGCCUUAUACCUCAGAGGGAAAUCUAGGAGAUGUGGAAUCAACAUUAUUCCCAUUCAUUCAACUUCUUUUCUCAAAUACACCAGAUGGAGAUAUGCCGCAGGGCCUUUUGAAAGGCAAUACAAGGAGCCCUUCUGUUAAACCUGUACCCAAGAAUUCAACUCAUAAAAACAAAUUGAGGAAACUCCAUUUUGUGGAACAUUUGUUAGCUGCAGAAACUCAAGAAAAAAUUGAUGAGGUUAAAAAGGAAGAAAAACCUGCCACGCGUACGCAUUCCAACAUUUCAAGUGCCACGUUUAAAAGCUACAUCUUUCAAAAGAAAUUGCAAACUGCCCAACCACAGAAAGACAGCCUCGCAAACACUGAGAGUACAGAGGAAAGGCUGCUGAGAGUGAACAGGGUCCUCAAGGGCCCAAGGGGCAUACAGAAAAUGCACCUCAAAGCAGUGGGAGAUGAGAGCGUCAGGGGGAAACAGAAUGCCCAGCCAUCUGAGGCGAACACUGCUGAAGAAAAAAGGCUCAGGAGGCCAUCCCCAAGAAAGCUGAAACAGCUUCUCAUGGUUCAGAGUCCCAGGAAGCUGGUGGGAAAGUCCUCCAAUGCAGAGUCUUCAUUCAUAAAGGAACACAAGGCAGCAGGCUCCUCUUCCUGGAAACAGUACUUCAAGGGCAGGCCUUCUGCCUCCAUCCCUCCAAAAUCCCCAUCUGACGUUAAAAGCACAUCAAAAGACUUAUCCAACACUCUUCAUGUUUUAGAGGAUGCGAAGGCUAGAACUAGAAACAUUAAGGACUUCGAACUAAUCUCACAUUCUGGAAAAAAAUACAUCUUCCAUAAAAUUAGGUCUCAUCGGGUCCACAGAAAACCCAAAGGCAAAAGGAGUGGAAAGUUCAGAAAGAAAAGUUCACUCACUAGAAUGAUGCUUGCAAGCCCUCCGUUCUCUGUACUGAGGAGUCUCAUAAAUUCCCCUCCACAAGAGGCUGUUUCAUCUUCAGGAGAAGUGACUUCUCAGGAAAAGCCUUUUCCAGAAUUAUUUUCUCUUUCAGACCCUUCUACAGAAAACACUACUUCAGAAAUCAAUACUGCACAAAAUGUUUCUGAAGAAAUUAUUUCUACAGGAAACUCUACUCUGCCAGGAGGAACCGGCCCUGGAAACACUACCCAUAGGAACGUGUCCACUGCACAUUCUACUGUUGCUGCAGACAACAGUAUGCCAACUGUUCAACACACCAACCAAACACGAUGGGAGUACCACAACACGGGCACUGAAUUAUCCUCUAAGCCCACAGGUUUCGCUUUCCCAGGGCUCACAUCCCCGGGUGAUCAAGUUGAAACUCAGCUAAACCAGCAGCUACGGUCCCUCAUCCCCAACAAUGACGUGCGAAGGCUCAUUUCUCAUGUUAUCCAGACUUUAAAAAUGAACUGCUCGGAGACCCACGUGCAGCUGGCCUGUGCCAACCUCAUCUCUAGAACAGGCCUCCUGAUGAAGCUUCUCAGCAAGCAGCAAGAAGUAAAUGUGUCCGAAGCGGAGGGGGAUACGGACCAGUGGAAAGCUGACAACUAUAUCAGUGAGAGCACAGAGGCCCAGAGUGAGCAGAAAGGGCAGGAGUCAAGUGAGCUCACAAAAGAAGUUCCAGCAUAUGGCUAUAAGAACAGACUCAUCUUGGCAAUAUCCAUAUCUGCAGUAGUGACGAUUUGGGUUACAAUUCUCUGUCUCGUUGAGAUUUAUUCUCAUAGAAUUGCAAAUGAGGAGGAUAAAAAAAGAAGCAGAAGGUAAAUAUUGGUCUUUGAAAGCAGAAUUUUACAACUAGAGGAAAACAUAGAACUCAUCUAUUUCAAUUUCCUCACCAAAGGCAGGAAGAAUGUUUAAUUACCCUAAUGGUUUAACCUAAUUUAGAAAUCAGCAGAAUUAGCUCCCCAGCCCAAGCUGAGUUAGAACAGGACUGGCACAGAUUCAUCUGCUUUCACUAGUCCUUUAAGGAAAGAGGGUGGACGGGGAGGGGUUUUGGUUGUACCUGUUCCUGCUGGCCUGACGCCUGGUUCCUAGGCAUCAGGCCAGGCCAGAGGCCUUCUAGGAGGCUCUGGGGUCGGGAGGGCCACAUGGUUGGGGAUUUAGGGGCUGGCCUCACUCAAAGCUGACGAAAGGUAGAACAUAUGAGCCCCGUCUGUAAAGUAGCAAGAAAACUUCCCUUCUCAUCCUACUGUUUUUCAGGCCCCUACUUUCUAUUCCCUUUAUCCAAACCUCAUAGAAUUUUAACCGGGAGAAACUUUAGACUGUAGUUUGUCUCAUCCUUUUAGAAUAAGGAACUGGAGAAAGAGAAAGGGAAAAUAUCUUGCCCCAUGGUCAUACUGCUAGUGAUUAUGAAAAAGAAGAUGGUCCCUGUCCACUGAGGACUUCUCUACUGAUCACACUGUGCUUGGGCUGUGAGCUAGGUUUUCUGUCACAAUUCAGUAGACACAUACUAUAUGGACAAAAGUAGUUUCUGAAACAAACUUACUGUGCACUCAGAUUUUUUUUUCUAUUCUAUUUGUAUUCAGAAAGAGUAUUUUGUGUUUCCCUGCUGGUCAUGGCCUUUAAACUGAUUUCACAAUUCACUGACACCUCAGUGCUACCCUGCAGUAUGAUAUCAGAGAGCUAUAGAUAACUUUGCUUGUUGGGUUCACGUGUUUACUUGGUGUGAUUCAACUUAUAGGAUAGAGCAGCCAGGAAAAUAAAAGCACCUUCUCCCCACACCCACACCCCCAGCAAAUGCUGCAUGUGCGACUAAGUGCGAAGCGGACUGGUGUGAAGCGCAUCUAGAGAGUAACGUGUUUCUGCCCAGCGCCGUCGUGCAGUGUUUUCACCGCACGAGGGCACUUGGCCAAGGGCCAGGAAAGGUGAACGGGGCUGAAAAUCCUGCCUAUACUCCAUGCUAAGCCACAUGCAGUGGUCUCCCCGGAGACACUGGGGGUCCACUUUGGAGAAGUGAGAACUUCUGGAAGGCCAGCGUGCAUGGAAUGAAUUUCAAGAUCCCGGGUCUGUGGUGAUUUUUGCUCAUUGUGAUUAUGGACUGAGGUACCCGUUUAGUCCUAAUAAGACCAGAGAUAACACAUUGUGAGAGAGGUGAAAAAUGACAUGUAACACUAACUGUGUGUGUUUUCCUCCGAGGGGCUUUUUUAGAUUUCUGCGGCGUAAGAGAAGCUCAGGGGAAAGUGAGAGUCAGGUAAAUUUGAGGAGGGUAAAGUACUGUGGCCAGAGAAAGCAGGGGAGAUGCAGAAUUAAUACUUCCCUUUCUGUGUUCUAGGAGGGCGAUUUCGGGAGAAGGCGGCCACUUUGGCUUAAGGAUACCUAUAGGCCCCUCAACGCCACAUGCAUGGAAAACAUGGCACAAAAGCUACACGACAGGGAGUCUUCUGAUGAGGAUGAGAUAUUCUAUAAGGAUGCA